rnacentral:lncRNA from 1 species
UGGAGAAGCAUUUCCAUAAUGUGCAGCCUAGUUAGGUUCAAUCAUUUUUUAUUAUGAAAUCACUUUUCUUUUUUUUUCUUUUUUAGUGCUUUCCUUUUCAUGAAAAGCUGAAAUAGAUGAACGAUAUAAAUCACGAGUAAUAUUACACACUCAAACACGUGAUUUGGUCCCAACUAUAUUUUGCUAAAUGUCACUGGAGUUCUAA